rnacentral:rRNA from 1 species
UACGGAGGGAGCUAGCGUUAUUCGGAAUUACUGGGCGUAAAGGGUUUGUAGGUGGCCACUUAAGUCAGACGUGAAAUCCCUCAGCUUAACUGGGGAACUGCGUCUGAUACUGAGUGGCUUGAGUGCAGGAGAGGAACGCGGAAUUCCAGGUGUAGCGGUGAAAUGCGUAGAUAUCUGGAGGAACACCGGUGGCGAAGGCGGCGUUCUGGACUGUAACUGACACUGAAAAACGAAAGCCAGGGGAGCAAACGGG